rnacentral:misc_RNA from 1 species
CCGAGUUCAUGCCCUUCGGGGUAGAUCUCCCACCCUUUGUAUACUAUACCUUUGUUGCUUUGGCGGGCCGCCUAGCUACUGGCUUCGGCUGGUAAGUGCCCGCCAGAGAACCCAAAACCCUGAAUGUUAGUGUACCUUCUGAUUAAAAAGACAAACAGUCA